GUGGUCGUAGUAGGUACUGUUAUCGUGUCGCAGGAAAAGGGCUGCACAUCUCUGUGGGAAAUAGUUUGGAGUGCUUUUUUCUAUUCGUUUCUGGUCGACCAAGGUCGUUUUUCUAUUCGUUUCUGUCUAAAAAGGGAAGUUAGUUGCGUUCGUCGGGAAAGGACGUGUGCUUUAUAAUCACGCGUGAUAAAAAAUAAACCAAUCAGAUGUAUUUCGUCGAAAAAAAAUCCAUAGGUGGCCGAAUGUCGGGGUGUUGUUUCAGUAUAAAGCCGGUUACAGACGAGCAAGUUUUCUGUGACAAGUUUUUAUGUGACAAGUUUUAUUUGCCAAGUGCACGUGUGUAUAUGCAACAAAUUUUAUAUGACAAGUUUUCAUAUGACAAGUUU